GAAGGCCUUCGGGUUGUAAACUGCUUUUGUACGGAACGAAACGGCGAGCUCUAAUACAGUUUGCUAAUGACGGUACCGUAAGAAUAAGCACCGGCUAACUACGUGCCAGCAGCCGCGGUAAUACGUAGGGUGCGAGCGUUAAUCGGAAUUACUGGGCGUAAAGCGUGCGCAGGCGGUGAUGUAAGACAGAUGUGAAAUCCCCGGGCUCAACCUGGGACCUGCAUUUGUGACUGCAUCGCUAGAGUACGGCAGAGGGGGAUGGAAUUCCGCGUGUAGCAGUGAAAUGCGUAGAUAUGCGGAGGAACACCGAUGGCGAAGGCAAUCCCCUGGGCCUGUACUGACGCUCAUGCACGAAAGCGUGGGGAGCAAACAGGAUUAGAUACCCUGGUAGUCCACGCCCUAAACGAUGUCAACUGGUUGUUGGGUCUUCACUGACUCAGUAACGAAGCUAACGCGUGAAGUUGACCGCCUGGGGAGUACGGCCGCAAGGUUGAAACU
rnacentral:rRNA from 1 species